CCUACGGGAGGCAGCAGUGGGGAAUAUUGGUCAAUGGGCGCAAGCCUGACCCAGCAAUGCCGCGUGAAGGAAGAAGGCUCUCGGGUUGUAAACCUCCUUGACAGGGGAAAAGGAAGACGGUACCCUGACCACAAGCCACGGCUAACUACGUGCCAGGAGCCGCGGUAAUACGCAGGUGGCAAGCGUUGUCCGGAUUUACUGGGCGUAAGGGGCGUGUAGCCGGGAAGGCAAGGCAGAUGUGAAAUCUGGAGGCUCAACCUCCAAAUUGCAUUUGAAACUGUUUGUCUUGAGUACUGGAGAGGCAGACGGAAUGCGUUGUGUAGCGGUGAAAUGCGUAGAUAUAAGGAGGAACACCGGUGGCGAAGGCGGUCUGCUGGACAGCAACUGACGGUGAGGCGCGAAAGCGUGGGGAGCAAACAGGAUUAGAUACCCGGGUAGUC
rnacentral:rRNA from 1 species